rnacentral:rRNA from 1 species
AAGUCGUAACAAGGUUUCGCUCACUACGGAGACCUUGCAGUCCGGCGCUAUCAGCGCUGGAAGGAAACGCGACAGUAAAUAACGUCUCCGUCUACAAGUCAGCGACGUUGGCAACACUAUCGAAUUGCGAGGAAGUCUUAAAGCUGAGAGUACUCCCCUGUACCCGAAAGGGUACAGCACAGUCAAAACCUCUCAGAUGCUACAAUAGGCAAUUCGCAGCGAAGACCCUAAGGCUCGGCCAGAGCUACGGGUGACGUUCACAGACUAAGUGAUAGUGGGUAACAGUGGUUACUUAAGAUAUAGUCGAGCGCAUGCCGAGAGGCGUGCGAGUCUACGUCCGUAGGUGAACCUGCGGAAGGAUCAUUAUAAAAGGACAUACUGCCCGCGAAAGCGGGAAAGGACCCUAACCCUUGCUUAUUAUACCUUCGUUGCUUUGGCGGAACGCUCUCGUGGCCAGCGGCUUCGGCUUCUGCGUGCCCGCCAGAGAACACACAACUCUUGUUUUUAGUGAUGUCUGAGUACUAUUAAAUAGUUAAAACUUUCAACAACGGAUCUCUUGGUUCUGGCAUCGAUGAAGAACGCAGCGAAAUGCGAUAAGUAAUGUGAAUUGCAGAAUUCAGUGAUACAUCGAAUCUUUGAACGCACAUUGCGCCCUUUGGUAUUCCGAAGGGCAUGCCUGUCGAGCGUCAUUAUAACCACUCAAGCCUUUGCAUGGUCUUGGGGUUCCCGGCUUCGGGGCCCUUAAAAUCAGUGGCGGUGCUCGUUAGCUCUACGCGUAGUAAUACUCCUCGCGUCUGACCCUAGCGAGUUACUUGCCAGCAACCCCCAAUUUUUUACAGGUUGACCUCGGAUCAGGUAGGGAUACCCGCUGAACUUAAGCAUAUCAAUAAGCGGAGGAAAAGAAACCAACAGGGAUUACCUCAGUAACGGCGAGUGAAGCGGUAACAGCUCAAAUUUGAAAGCUCGCUCUUUUAGGGUGCGCAUUGUAAUUUGUAGAAGAUGCUUCGAGUGUGGCCCCGGUCUAAGUUCCUUGGAACAGGACGUCAUAGAGGGUGAGAAUCCCGUAUGUGACUGGGUGCUUUCGCUCAUGUGAAGCUCUUUCGACGAGUCGAGUUGUUUGGGAAUGCAGCUCAAAAUGGGUGGUAAAUUUCAUCUAAAGCUAAAUAUUGGCCAGAGACCGAUAGCGCACAAGUAGAGUGAUCGAAAGAUGAAAAGCACUUUGGAAAGAGAGUUAAACAGUACGUGAAAUUGUUGAAAGGGAAGCGCUUGCAACCAGACUUGCGCGUAGGUAAUCAUCCGGGCUUCUGUCCGGGGCACUUGCCUGCGCUCAGGCCAGCAUCGGUUUCGGUGGUGGGAUAAAGGCCUUGGGAAUGUAGCUUCUUUCGGGGAGUGUUAUAGCCCUCGGUGCAAUGCCGCCUACCGGGACCGAGGACCGCGCUUCGGCUAGGAUGCUGGCGUAAUGGUUGUAAGCGACC